UACGUAGGGCGCAAGCGUUAUCCGGAAUUACUGGGCGUAAAGCGCGUGUAGGCGGCCCUGCAAGUCGGAUGUGAAAUCCCACGGCUCAACCGUGGAAGUGCAUUCGAAACUGCAGGGCUAGAGUCCUGGAGAGGAAGGUGGAAUGCUUGGUGUAGAGGUGAAAUUCGUAGAUAUCAAGCGGAACACCGGUGGCGAAGGCGGCCUUCUGGACAGUGACUGACGCUGAGACGCGAAAGCGUGGGGAGCAAACAGG
rnacentral:rRNA from 1 species